GGGUUGUGAGGUUAAGUGACUAAGCGUACACGGUGGAUGCCCUGGCAGUCAGAGGCGAUGAAGGACGUGCUAAUCUGCGAUAAGCGUCGGUAAGGUGAUAUGAACCGUUAUAACCGGCGAUUUCCGAAUGGGGAAACCCAGUGUGAUUCGUCACACUAUCAUUAACUGAAUCCAUAGGUUAAUGAGGCGAACCGGGGGAACUGAAACAUCUAAGUACCCCGAGGAAAAGAAAUCAACCGAGAUUCCCCCAGUAGCGGCGAGCGAACGGGGAGGAGCCCAGAGCCUGAAUCAGUGUGUGUGUUAGUGGAAGCGUCUGGAAAGGCGCGCGAUACAGGGUGACAGCCCCGUACACAAAAAUGCACAUGCUGUGAGCUCGAUGAGUAGGGCGGGACACGUGGUAUCCUGUCUGAAUAUGGGGGGACCAUCCUCCAAGGCUAAAUACUCCUGACUGACCGAUAGUGAACCAGUACCGUGAGGGAAAGGCGAAAAGAACCCCGGCGAGGGGAGUGAAAAAGAACCUGAAACCGUGUACGUACAAGCAGUGGGAGCACAGAGCAAUCUGUGUGACUGCGUACCUUUUGUAUAAUGGGUCAGCGACUUAUAUUCUGUAGCAAGGUUAACCGAAUAGGGGAGCCGAAGGGAAACCGAGUCUUAACUGGGCGUUAAGUUGCAGGGUAUAGACCCGAAACCCGGUGAUCUAGCCAUGGGCAGGUUGAAGGUUGGGUAACACUAACUGGAGGACCGAACCGACUAAUGUUGAAAAAUUAGCGGAUGACUUGUGGCUGGGGGUGAAAGGCCAAUCAAACCGGGAGAUAGCUGGUUCUCCCCGAAAGCUAUUUAGGUAGCGCCUCGUGAAUUCAUCUCCGGGGGUAGAGCACUGUUUCGGCAAGGGGGUCAUCCCGACUUACCAACCCGAUGCAAACUGCGAAUACCGGAGAAUGUUAUCACGGGAGACACACGGCGGGUGCUAACGUCCGUCGUGAAGAGGGAAACAACCCAGACCGCCAGCUAAGGUCCCAAAGUCAUGGUUAAGUGGGAAACGAUGUGGGAAGGCCCAGACAGCCAGGAUGUUGGCUUAGAAGCAGCCAUCAUUUAAAGAAAGCGUAAUAGCUCACUGGUCGAGUCGGCCUGCGCGGAAGAUGUAACGGGGCUAAACCAUGCACCGAAGCUGCGGCAGCGACACUAUGUGUUGUUGGGUAGGGGAGCGUUCUGUAAGCCUGUGAAGGUGUGCUGUGAGGCAUGCUGGAGGUAUCAGAAGUGCGAAUGCUGACAUAAGUAACGAUAAAGCGGGUGAAAAGCCCGCUCGCCGGAAGACCAAGGGUUCCUGUCCAACGUUAAUCGGGGCAGGGUGAGUCGACCCCUAAGGCGAGGCCGAAAGGCGUAGUCGAUGGGAAACAGGUUAAUAUUCCUGUACUUGGUGUUACUGCGAAGGGGGGACGGAGAAGGCUAUGUUGGCCGGGCGACGGUUGUCCCGGUUUAAGCGUGUAGGCUGGUUUUCCAGGCAAAUCCGGAAAAUCAAGGCUGAGGCGUGAUGACGAGGCACUACGGUGCUGAAGCAACAAAUGCCCUGCUUCCAGGAAAAGCCUCUAAGCAUCAGGUAACAUCAAAUCGUACCCCAAACCGACACAGGUGGUCAGGUAGAGAAUACCAAGGCGCUUGAGAGAACUCGGGUGAAGGAACUAGGCAAAAUGGUGCCGUAACUUCGGGAGAAGGCACGCUGAUAUGUAGGUGAAGCGACUUGCUCGUGGAGCUGAAAUCAGUCGAAGAUACCAGCUGGCUGCAACUGUUUAUUAAAAACACAGCACUGUGCAAACACGAAAGUGGACGUAUACGGUGUGACGCCUGCCCGGUGC
rnacentral:rRNA from 1 species